CUACCCUUACAUUGGGGGAUAGCCUUUCGAAAGGGAGAUUAAUACCGCAUAAGACAGUAGCUGGGCAUCCAGCAGCUGUUAAAGAUUUAUCGAUGUAAGAUGGGCAUGCGUCCAAUUAGUUAGUUGGCGAGGUAACGGCCCACCAAGACUUUGAUUGGUAGGGGAACUGAGAGGUCAAUCCCCCACACUG
rnacentral:rRNA from 1 species